rnacentral:rRNA from 1 species
UGGGGGAUAUUGCACAAUGGGCGAAAGCCUGAUGCAGCGACGCCGCGUGGGGGAUGAAGGCUUUCGGGUUGUAAACCUCUUUCGCUAUCGAACAAGGCCCGCUUAGGGUGGGUUGAGGGUAGGUGGAGAAGAAGCGCCGGCUAACUACGUGCCAGCAGCCGCGGUAAUACGUAGGGCGCGAGCGUUGUCCGGAAUUAUUGGGCGUAAAGGGCUUGUAGGCGGCUUGUUGCGCCUGCUGUGAAAACGCGGGGCUUAACUUCGCGCGUGCAGUGCAUACGGGCAGGCUUGAGUGUGGUAGGGGUGACUGGAAUUCCAGGUGUAGCGGUGGAAUGCGCAGAUAUCUGGAGGAACACCGAUGGCGAAGGCAGGUCACUGGGCCAUUACUGACGCUGAGGGGCGAAAGCAUGGGUAGCGAACAGG